rnacentral:rRNA from 1 species
UACGAAGGGGGGUUAGCGUUGUUCGGAAUCACUGGGCGUAAAGGGCGCGUAGGCGGCCGAUCAAGUCGGGGGUGAAAGCCUGUGGCUCAACCACAGAAUUGCCUUCGAUACUGUUUGGCUUGAGACCGGAAGAGGUAAGUGGAACUGCGAGUGUAGAGGUGAAAUUCGUAGAUAUUCGCAAGAACACCAGUGGCGAAGGCGGCUUACUGGUCCGGUUCUGACGCUGAGGCGCGAAAGCGUGGGGAGCAAACAGG